rnacentral:rRNA from 1 species
GACAAUAUGAAGGUCAGGCUGAAGACCUUACCCGAUUAGCUGAGAGGUGGUGCGUGGCCGUCGUCAGUUCGUACUGUGAAGCAUCCUGUUAAGUCAGGCAACGAGCGAGACCCACGUCCACAGUUGCCAGCAUACCCUCCGGGGUGAUGGGUACACUGUGGAGACCGCCGCUGCUAAAGCGGAGGAAGGAGUGGGCAACGGUAGGUCAGUAUGCCCCGAAUCUCCCGGGCUACACGCGGGCUACAAUGGUUGGUACAAUGGGCAUCUACCCCGAAAGGGGAAGGAAAUCUCUUAAAGCCAAUCGUAGUUCGGAUUGAGGGCUGCAACUCGCCCUCAUGAAGCUGGAAUCCGUAGUAAUCGCCGUUUCAACAGAACGCCGGUGAAUACGUCCCUAGCUCCUU